AUGCUGUGGUUGGAUACUGUAUCAGAUGAUCCUGGCAGGUUUGGGUUAACCGGAGUUAACCCGAUCACGGGUCCGGUUCUGUGUGAAUGGGGUGUGACAGUAAGUUCUUUACCUCUUGAAUUUAUACGUUAUGUGUAAAAUGCCAUGUUUAGGACUUGUUAUCCAUACUUAGUAGAAUACCACAUAGGAUUUUCCAUGUAUAAGAAAAGUUUUUUGUCACCAUGCUAUAUAGAUCAUUGCGUUGAAUUGUUCUAUUGGAUUGCACUGGCUGUCUGUGUUUGUUUGAAUAUGGUUUUCUUCUUUCUUUCUUGAAAUGCUUGAUGUCACUAGAUGUUAUGGGUCAAUUUAUAGCUUAGGGUUAUUCACUGUCCUCUAUGUCUCUUUUGUUUAGCUCUAUCCUUGUACAACUUUGAACUGCCUCGAUUUGCAUGUCUCUUGAAUUAAACCAUAUUGCAUUGCUUUGUAAUGCCUUGUAUUGGCUCAUAUUGGCUUGCCUUGUCUUGAACUGCUUUGUUAUUGAAAUGUGCUUUGUAAUGCCUUGUAUUGAGUUGUGUUUCUUAACUAUGAUUUUAUAGAAGGUUGAUCACGUGAAGAAGUAUGGGUCCAUGGACUACAUGCUUUAGUGGUACAAUAAGUUGGGUCCGACCAUUCAGAGGCACAUCGAAGACAUAGGCUUCGAGGAUUUUUCGCAGUUGCAGGCUCGCAACUACGACCUUGAUUUGUAUAAGAUUAAUGAUGGAGAGGUGGUGGUCAACGACCCACACUUUCCAUUUCAUUUGUGGGGAGAUGACCACCAACCCAUCAGACUUUGGCCUGUGUAUGGGCCUGAGAUUUGGAGAGACAAUGAUCAUCGUGUGUUCGAGAGGAUGGGAUCCUUCAGAGAACAUAACCCAGGUGGUGUCACUGAUAGGAGAGUGGCCCCACACUACCCCCCAUUGGUGAGUUGGUUCAGGAACACUGGGAGAAGCCUGAGAACAAGGUGACUGACUCUUCUUCUGCCUCCACACGAGAUUAGUUAGCGCGUAAUUUCAUUAUGCAUAUGCUGGAGAACUCUUUCUUUGACUACAGUAGCAACAACAUCAACCUAGAUCUGCUAGGCUACUUAGAGAAGAUUGAGGCAGUGAAGAAGUACAACUGGGGAGUGGGCGGAUAUGCCUACCUCCUCAAGAGCAUGGAUGCCCUAACUAUAGGCAAGAGGCAUUGAAUCACUGGGGCUUGGUAUGUCUCUAAGUGUUGGAGAUUUGUCUAUUUGCAUUUCCAUGAGGCCAAGCUCAGGGAUGAUAGCCAGGACUUCUUCCCUCGCCCCAGGAGAUGGUUGGAGAUGAACUGUGAGCAUCGCAAGCCUGUGCGCUCGAUUUUUUAGGGAACUAUUGAACUGGCUCCCUAGAUCCGAUUGAGUUGUUACCAUGGGCUUCACUAUUGGCGGGCCGCUAUCUGGGAACGCCCCUCAUCUCAAUACUAUGAGGGUGUUGUUCCACGGGCCAUUAGGUUAUGCAUGGUACAUAGACGAGCAUGUGGCUCACCAAUGGGAAGUGAGCGGUCAGUCCUUGGUGUCACAUCUUCCUCCAUGCCACAUGUUACAUCUGAAGAUGCUGACUCUGGAUCGCAUUACUAAUGGGCAUAUAGGCUACGCCACCCCCAACUUCUUCAUGUUGGACUCCUAGAGCCAAUACCAGGAGUUCAUGAUCUCAGAAGGCAUAUGCCUCCACAUCACCCCAGAGUGUUGGAAAGACAACCACGAGAGGAUUCCUCCCGUGUUUGUUGUUGCUGGGUCGUCUUAGGCCACCUCCACCACGCUGUAUACAAGGCCUACGAAUGGAGCUUAGAGCACUCCUAGGGGUGAUGUGCCGCAACUUGGGAAAGUCCUUCCAAGGUUCCGUGGUUGGGUUUUCUUGGAUAGGGGUGUCCGUGAGAUAUCCCUCUUCCCAGGUUAUCGUUGACUGCGGCCCGUAUGCUUAUAUCCCAGGUGCCAAGUAUGAUGAUCUUAGAUCGAUCAUUUAUGGGUAUGAACAACUAUUGGGGAAGGAGAUCGUAGCUUGCUGUGCCACCGUAAGUCCAUUUUUCUUAUAAAUGUACCUGCAAGGUUACUGUUCUGUUGUACUAACACAAGGACUGAAUGCAUGCAAAAAGCUAAGUUGGAUGCUACGAGGUUGGACAACAAGCCUAUCAGCAGCCACUAGAGGAGAGGAUGAGGGUGAUGAGGCCUCUCACUUGGAGAACGAGAAGGAGGAUGCCCAGAGGGAGCGGAGGUCCAAGGCUUCAAGACUUCAAGUAGUCUUAGCUUAUUUUUUAUUUUUUUGUUGAUGAUGCACACGACUGCUUAGUCGCUUUUCUUGUUCAAACUAUAUGAAAGUACGACCAUUUGGUCGCUUUGUAACCAAGAUGUUUUUAAUUCCCCAAAUAAUGGAAUUUGAAACUUGCAA